rnacentral:rRNA from 1 species
UACGGGGGGGGGCAAGCGUUGUUCGGAAUUACUGGGCGUAAAGGGCUCGUAGGCGGCCAACUAAGUCGGGCGUGAAAUCCCUCGGCUCAACCGAGGAACUGCGUCUGAGACUGUGGGGCUUGAAUCCGGGAGAGGGAUGCGGAAUUCCAGGUGUAGCGGUGAAAUGCGUAGAUAUCUGGAGGAACACCGGUGGCGAAGGCGACAUCCUGGACCGGUAUUGACGCUGAGGCGCGAAAGCCAGGGGAGCAAACGGG